UACGGAGGAUGCGAGCGUUAUCCGGAUUUAUUGGGUUUAAAGGGUGCGUAGGCGGCUUAGUAAGUCAGCGGUGAAAUUUUGCAGCUUAACUGUAACAGUGCCGUUGAUACUGCAUGGCUAGGAUUUGGUUGCUGUGGGUGGAAUGUGUGGUGUAGCGGUGAAAUGCUUAGAUAUCACACAGAAUAUCAAUUGCGAAGGCAGCUCACAAAGCCAAGAUUGACGCUGAGGCACGAAAGUGUGGGGAUCAAA
rnacentral:rRNA from 1 species